rnacentral:rRNA from 1 species
UACGUAGGGGGCAAGCGUUGUCCGGAUUUAUUGGGCGUAAAGAGCGUGUAGGCGGCCAGGUAGGUCUGCAGUGAAAACUCGAGGCUUAACCUCGAGCUGUCGGCGGAAACCAUCUGGCUAGAGUCCGGAAGAGGAGAAUGGAAUUCCCGGUGUAGCGGUGAAAUGCGCAGAUAUCGGGAAGAACACCCGUGGCGAAGGCGGUUCUCUGGGACGGUACUGACGCUGAGACGCGAAAGCGUGGGGAGCGAACAGG